rnacentral:rRNA from 1 species
GACGAACGCUGGCGGCGUGCCUAACACAUGCAAGUCGAACGGAGAGUUUAUCGAGGAGACUUCGGUCAACGAGAUAAAUUUCUUAGUGGCGGACGGGUGAGUAACGCGUGAGCAAUCUGCCUUUCAGAGGGGGAUAACAUUCUGAAAAGAAUGCUAAUACCGCAUAACGUAUAUUGGUGGCAUCAUCGAGAUACCAAAGGAGCAAUCCGCUGAAAGAUGAGCUCGCGUCUGAUUAGAUAGUUGGUGAGGUAACGGCUCACCAAGUCGACGAUCAGUAGCCGGACUGAGAGGUUGAACGGCCACAUUGGGACUGAGACACGGCCCAGACUCCUACGGGAGGCAGCAGUGGGGAAUAUUGCACAAUGGGCGAAAGCCUGAUGCAGCAACGCCGCGUGAGGGAAGACGGUCUUCGGAUUGUAAACCUCUGUCCUUGGUGACGAAUAAAUGACGGUAGCCUUGGAGGAAGCCACGGCUAACUACGUGCCAGCCGCCGCCGUAACAC